CCUACGGGAGGCAGCAGUGAGGAAUAUUGGUCAAUGGCCGAGAGGCUGAACCAGCCAAGUCGCGUGAAGGAUGACGGCCCUACGGGUUGUAAACUUCUUUUGUAAGGGAGUAAAGUGAGUCACGUGUGACUUUUUGUGAGUACUUGAUGAAUAAGCAUCGGCUAACUCCGUGCCAGCAGCCGCGGUAAUACGGAGGAUCCGAGCGUUAUCCGGAUUUAUUGGGUUUAAAGGGUGCGUAGGGGGAGGUUUAAGUCAGCGGGAAAAUUUCGGGGCUCAACCCCGUAUUGCCAUUGAAACUGGGUGCCUUGAGUGCACGAGAGGUAGGCGGAAUGCGUGGUGUAGCGGUGAAAUGCAUAGAUAUCACGCAGAACUCCGAUUGCGAAGGCAGCAUAC
rnacentral:rRNA from 1 species